GAUUUCAAAUGGAAAAAAUAUCAACAACAAAGUUGAAUAACUCAUCAAGAUCUAAAACUUUUAUUUUUGCUAUUUCUUCAUCUGAUGAAAUGUUAUAUUUUUGCUAUUUCUUCAUCUGACGAAAUGUUAGUAAUAUUAUUCACAAAUUUUACAUAUAUGUGUUUUAUAGUUUAUAAAACCAGAUAAGAGAUAUGUCAAUUUUGUGAACAAUGUUACUAUCACUUUGUCGUAUGAAGAAAUGACCAAAAUAAAAGUUUUAGAUCUUGAUGAGUUAUUCAACUUUGUUGUUGAUGACUUUUCAGUUGAUAUC
rnacentral:pre_miRNA from 1 species